rnacentral:rRNA from 1 species
CGAACGCUGGCGGCGUGGCUAAACAUGCAAGUCGCACGGAAAGGCGGCUUCUGACCCUUCGGGUGACGAAGCUGUACUCAAGUGGCGAAAGGGCGAGGAAUACAUGGAUAACGUGCCUUUGGCAUGGGGACAGCUGAGGGAAACUUCAGGUAAUACCCAAUGAGACCACAGUGCUUUCGGGCACAGGGGUCAAAGGUGGGGCUCCUUCGGGACCUAUCGGCCAUAGAGCGGUCCAUGUCCUAUCAGCUUGUUGGUGAGGUAAUGGCUCACCAAGGCGACGACGGUACCGGGACUGAGAGGUUGACCCGGCGCAUCGGGACUGAGACACUGCCCGGACUCCUACGGGAGGCUGCAGUAACGAAUAUUGGUCAAUGGGCGAAAGCCUGAACCAGCGACGCCGCGUGUGGGAGGAAGCCCUUCGGGGUGUAAACCACUGUCAGGGAUUACCAAGCAAUGGAGGCUAAUACCCUCCUGCGUUGAGGCGUCCCAGAGGAAGUCACGGCUAACUUCGUGCCAGCAGCCGCGGUAAUACGAAGGUGGCGAGCGUUGUUCGGAAUCACUGGGCUUAAAGAGCACGUAGGCGGACUGCCAAGCGUCUUGUGAAAUCCCCCGGCUCAACCGGGGAAUUGCUGGGCGAACUGGUAGUCUUGAGGCAAGUAGGGGCAGAUGGAACUCUUGGUGGAGCGGUGGAAUGCGUAGAUAUCAAGAGGAACGCCAGAGGCGAAGGCGAUCUGCUGGGCUUGACCUGACGCUGAGGUGCGAAAGCCAGGGGAGCAAACGGGAUUAGAUACCCCGGUAGUCCUGGCCAUAAACGAUG